rnacentral:rRNA from 1 species
AGUGAACGCUGGCGGUAGGCCUAACACAUGCAAGUCGAACGGCAGCACAGUAAGAGCUUGCUCUUACGGGUGGCGAGUGGCGGACGGGUGAGGAAUACAUCGGAAUUUACUUUUUCGUGGGGGAUAACGUAGGGAAACUUACGCUAAUACCGCAUACGACCUACGGGUGAAAGCAGGGGAUCUUCGGACCUUGCGCGAUUGAAUGAGCCGAUGUCGGAUUAGCUAGUUGGCGGGGUAAAGGCCCACCAAGGCGACGAUCCGUAGCUGGUCUGAGAGGAUGAUCAGCCACACUGGAACUGAGACACGGUCCAGACUCCUACGGGAGGCAGCAGUGGGGAAUAUUGGACAAUGGGCGCAAGCCUGAUCCAGCCAUACCGCGUGGGUGAAGAAGGCCUUCGGGUUGUAAAGCCCUUUUGUUGGGAAAGAAAAGCAGCGGGUUAAUACCCCGCUGUUCUGACGGUACCCAAAGAAUAAGCACCGGCUAACUUCGUG